CUAAAUUCAACGCUCCCCUACCACCAGGGGGCAGUCAACAUGGUUUCACAUUUCAGUUCAAAGGACGAGAAAGGAGGGGUCCACACAAAUACAGCCUGUUGGUGAAGGCUGAGAUUUUGCAGGCUGGUGACUGUGUGCUGCCAGAGGAGAUGCAGGCACCAAGCUUCCUGCCUUGGGAGCCACAGUGUGGCCUGAUGAGUCGGGUGCCACCCGCAAAGCUGCUCAUCAUCCAGGAGACCAGGAAUAGUGAGAGAGAGCAAGGCUAACAAGGAAAGUGCACUGGGUCACUGCCAUUGCAUGGGAAGAUCACAGAUGGAAAGAUAUAUACUGAAAUCGUCGGCUGCUCCAUUCAGCCACCCCUCCUGGCCGGCGUCUCUGUGGGCAGAGAAGGCAUCAGCGCUUCUGUGCAGCCUGAAAUAAAUGAUGAGAGAAGUGCCAUCAUCCGACUGACAGCCUGCCUGCUGGAUGCUCAUACAAGAAGCCUUUCUUUUCCAUUUCGUCAAUUCUUCUUUGGUACAAAACAAAAAUCAGUCAUGACUCACUACAAAUUUACAACUUUCCCAAUUUGGAAGUCCA
rnacentral:lncRNA from 1 species